GCAUGGUACUAACAUCUGUGCAGGAGAAAGCACAGGGGCUUUCUCUGUGGGACUUCUGAUGGAUCUGAGAACAAGAGAAUCCCCAAAUAGUCAACAGUCGUUCACUGGAAAGCAUGGCAGGCCAAGCUGAGGACAGCAUUUGUAACUGGGAAGAGGUUUGCCAACUCCAAUAGCAGGUGAGUGGAAGGAGUUUGCUGUAAAAACAUUGAAGGAGCUGGAGCAGUCCGGCUCCUAGAACUCUUAAAACUGACCAGCCAGGGAUCCCUUUCAGGAUACUGAAAGUUUCUACCUUGAAGAGAAACUGUGGAAGUAGGCAGUAGAGAAGGGGUGGAGAGAUGGAGUUCACUAUGUUUCCCAGGCCGGUCUUGAACUCUCGGGCUCAAUCAAAGGAGUAGAAACAAUGCAAAUGGCAACAUGAGGGCUGAACUCUGGCACAGAGCUUUAGAAGAAAGAAGAAACUAAAUUCCUAUGAUAAAGGCGACACACAGCUCUAGGUAAUGAAAGAAGUAAGCUUGACCUCCUGAUGCCAGUAUACUUCCUACUGUACUAAGAUGAAGACCUAUGAAUCCAGCCUGCAGAUCAAGAGGGCUGAAUAGGCCAGGUGUGGUGGCUCACACUUGUAAUCCCAGCACUUUGGGAGGCCGAGGCAGGUGGAUCAUCUGAGGUCAGGAGUUUGAGACCAGCCUAGACAACAUGGUGAAACAUCGUCUCUACUAAAAAUUCAAAAAUCAGCUGGGAGUGGUGGUGGGUGCCGGUAAUCCCAGCUACUCGGGAGGUUGAGGCAGGAGAAUCGCUUGAACCUGGGACGCGGAAGUUGCAGUGAGCCGAGAUGGUGCCUAUGCACUCCAGCCUGAGUGACAAGAGUGAAACACUGUCUCAAAAAAAAAAAAAAAAAAAAAAAAAUUAAGGCUGAAUAACAGUGUUUGUGACUGGUGGAGAAGUUAAACAAUUAAGAAAAAAGGGGAAAAUAUAGUGUUCUUAAACAUUAGAUGGUUUUCAAGGAAUCAAAUAAUAUGGCUGAGUUUAGAAGGCUAAUGGAGAUAUGAUAAUAUGAAACAGAUAGACAACUCUAUCAUUAAAAUAUUUUGAAGAUUCUUUAAACAUAUGAAAGAAACAAAGACCUUUCCCCCUCCCCCUGGAAUAAAAAAGGGGGAAAUCUGAUUCAAUCUAGUUUUACUUUUAAAUUGAUUCUUCAGGGUAGUUAAUGAGAGCAUUGGAAACAUGAGGAUUUCCAUAGAUGGCCAGUGUGACCGUGUUCCAUUAGCAACUGACGUGUUGUUAUUUAUUUGGUACAGUUGAAUAACAUUCUUGGUUUCUGAAGGGAAUUUAAAAAUGAUUCAGGCUAACUAAUACUUCAAGAUCAUCCUAACAACUACUUAACUGAAACUGACUCCCCUCCCCCACACCAGGAGUCUUAUUCAAGUUUAGUAAGAAAUGAACAUUAGGACGGGCUCGGUGGCUCACGUCUGUAAUUCCAACACUUUGGGAGGCCGAGGUAGGUGGAUCACCUGACGUUGGAAGUUCAAGACCAGCCUGGCCAAUAUGGUAAAAUCCUGCCUCUACUAAAAAUAUAAAAAAUUAGCUGGGUGUGGUGGUGGGUGCCUGUAGUCCCAGCUACUUGGGAGACUGAAGUGGGAGAAUUGCUCAAACCCAGGAGGCAGAAGUAGCAGUGAGCCGAGAUCGCGCCACUGCACUCCAGACUGGGCACGACAGAGCAAGACUCCGUCUCAAAGAAAAGAAAAAAAAAAAAAGAACAUUAAAUUGAUUAGAUAUCACAUUUGCAAAGCAAAGAGUAUUAAUUAGAAGGAGCAGGAAGAGGUAAUGUUGUAGAAAGCAGCACAAGUAGUGUUAAAACAAGGCGCUGUGGUGAGAUCACACAAACCAAUGAAGUGGCUAACACUGUAUCUCCAGGUUAAGAUUUCUUACAAUGCUGAGCAAGAAUACUGAUACUCUAAUACUCACAUAGUAAUACUCUAAAUCUUGAACUUUACUUCUGGCUAGGCCUUUAAUGCAUCUAUUUAGUCCAAGUUGUCAUUUUACUGAUGAGGAAGCUAAGGCUCUGAGAUGUCAAGUGACUAAUCUAUGACAAAAGCUCACGUUUUUACUUCCAGGAACACCUUUACACAGUUGCACCUUUUCUAUGAAGCAGAGGAGGGCAGUAUUGCAUGGGCAUUAAGUGAGAGGGUCCUCGUGUCAGACUGCCUGAGUUGAAAUCCAGGCUGUGCCACUAACAAGCUGUAUGAUCUCGGGCAAAUGACCUGCCCUCUCUGAGCUCGAGUAUCUCCCUCUAAAAAAACCAUAAUAUCCCAGUACGUACUUCAUAGAGUUGUGUGGAUUGAAAUGAUAAGACAGGUAUGGCUCAGAAGUACACUUACUAACAUUGUUAUUUUCCCAAAGAAAGGCAAAAACAUAAAAGCUCAAUCAGAAGAGAUUAUAUAUCCAGGGAGGAAAAAACCCACUGCAUACAGAUCAUAAGAUAAAGUAAAAAAGGGACAUAGCAAGUGUCAUUAAUUGUCGUUUCUUACAUUUCCCCCUCACACAUCAGUCACUCCUCCCCCUAUCUGUGCUGAUAGGCACCAAAGAGAAAUCCAGACAAAAUGUUUUUAUUCAUUAGAUCAUUAAGGUACUUCGUGUAAUAUUACGGUCUCUAUAGUGCUGCUGACAAUCAAUGUUAGAAAAUUAUAAAGGUAUUUCUUUGGCAGUGGUGAUCUGCCAGAAUAACUGGCAUAAAGGCAAUGCCAAAGCUGAAACACUCAUGAGAAGUGUUUACCCGGCACAAGCCUUUGCAUUCCCACUGCUGUCUGCCUGCAUACCUGUCACAGCCGCUUUGGAAACACAAGCGUCCUUGGAUGCUUUUCAAAGGAUCCUCUGACAAACAAGAGAUAUUUUUUUCUACACAAAAUUCAGGCUGCCUUGAGUUCCGUGCUAUUUGAUUUACUUUGUUCAGCAGUCGAAGCAGAAUAAAAUCAGAUUUCUUCCUGG
rnacentral:lncRNA from 10 species